rfam:Camelus ferus unplaced genomic scaffold scaffold273, whole genome shotgun sequence.
GAGAGUACAGCUCAGUGGUAGAGCGUCUGCUUAGCUUGCAUGAGGUCCUGGGUUCCAUCCCCAGUACUUCCA